GAGUUUGAUCCUGGCUCAGAUUGAACGCUGGCGGCAUGCCUUACACAUGCAAGUCGAACGGCAGCACGGGAGCUUGCUCCUGGUGGGCGAGUGGCGAACGGGUGAGUAAUGCAUCGGAACGUAUCCUGGAGUGGGGGAUAACGUAGCGAAAGUUACGCUAAUACCGCAUAUUCUGUGAGCAGGAAAGCGGGGGACCUUCGGGCCUCGCGCUCUUGGAGCGGCCGAUGUCGGAUUAGCUAGUUGGUGAGGUAAAGGCUCACCAAGGCGACGAUCCGUAGCAGGUCUGAGAGGAUGAUCUGCCACACUGGAACUGAGACACGGUCCAGACUCCUACGGGAGGCAGCAGUGGGAAUUUUGGACAAUGGGGGCAACCCUGAUCCAGCCAUGCCGCGUGAGUGAAGAAGGCCUCGGUGUAAG
rnacentral:rRNA from 1 species